rnacentral:lncRNA from 1 species
GGGGAGGGCUGACCCUGGUGCGGUGGUGCCCCUCUGGCCUGCUGGAUCCCCUCUCUGCCUCUCAGUAGAUGUGGCAGCAUGAACAGGCACCAGGAGGACCCAGAAGAAAGGAGGUGACUGGCUGAAGCCUGGGGCCUGGGGAAGGGGCCUGGCUGGCUUUCGGGGAAGGAGGAGUAAGGGGCUUCACUGUGUGCAUUGGACCCAGAGGUUUCAAGAACCUUCCGGAGGCCUCAGGGAAGAACCUGAACUCUUGCUUGAGGAAAAGAAGAGAAAGCUCUGAACGAGCAGCCAGAGGAGUGGGCAAGGGAGUGAAUGAACUCGUGCAGCAGAGGGAAUGAGCAGAAACUGCCUGGAAGGCCCACCAAGAGUGUGGGGGGCUCCUUGUGAGGACUGACCAGGACCAGCUGUGCUCGGCUCAGGGGACUCAGCAUAAACGAGGAAGAUCCAGCCCUUGUCCUUGGGGACGAGGGACUCAGAUAGGAACUCAGAAAUCCUCAGGCCUCGAGAGCGUCAGCAUGACCUGGAGAACUAAUGAGAAUGCAGCAGACCAAGACUGCCACUGCUGGGAAGAUCGAGUCGUUUCCAGCCUUUAAGAACAACUAAAAACCUAGGACGCCACGUAUAACGCAAACAUAAGAGGACUCUGGAAAGCGGAGAGAAAGCCGACUGGCUGGGGACUUCGGGACCGGAAGAGCGACACGGUGGUAUUGUGAAUGACGCUGCUAUGAAUAUGAGUGUGCAAAUCUAUCUUCAAGACCCUGCUUUCAGUUCUCUGUGGUGUAUGCCCAGAAGUGGAAUUGCUGGAUCACAUGAAUUGUUUUGGUAUUCUAGUUCCCUGGCCCAGCCGCCUGCCUGUGGCCCUCAGGAACCCCCACCCUGCCUGCCCGCAGAAGACUCUGCUAUUGUUGCACCCCACCACCUGCCCUUGGGCAUGAACCCUCAGGUAAGGAAACUGAGACAACACUUUAAAAGCUGGAAAUCAAAUAAGGUGCCAGCUGUGGAAUAUCCACCUACACCAAAGGAAG